rnacentral:rRNA from 1 species
UACGUAGGGGGCAAGCGUUGUCCGGAUUUAUUGGGCGUAAAGAGCUCGUAGGCGGUUCCGUAAGUCGUGAAGUCAAAUCUCUGGGCUCAACCCAGAAUCGCUUCCGAUACUGCGGUGACUGGAGUCCGGUAGGGGGAGUGUGGAAUUCCUGGUGUAGCGGUGAAAUGCGCAGAUAUCAGGAGGAACACCAACAGCGAAGGCAGCACUCUGGGCCGGUACUGACGCUGAGGAGCGAAAGCAUGGGGAGCGAACAGG